rnacentral:miRNA from 1 species
AGGUGGGAGGAUCACUUGAGCUCAGGAGUUUGAGGUUGCAAUAAACUAUGAUCACACCAUUGCACUCCAGCCUGAGUGACAGAGCAAGAUCUU